rnacentral:rRNA from 1 species
CGAAGGGUGCAAGCGUUACUCGGAAUUACUGGGCGUAAAGCGUGCGUAGGUGGUUUGUUAAGUCUGAUGUGAAAGCCCUGGGCUCAACCUGGGAAUGGCAUUGGAUACUGGCGAGCUAGAGUGCGGUAGAGGGCAGUGGAAUUCCCGGUGUAGCAGUGAAAUGCGUAGAGAUCGGGAGGAACAUCUGUGGCGAAGGCGACUGCCUGGACCAGCACUGACACUGAGGCACGAAAGCGUGGGGAGCAAACAGGAUUAGAUACCCUGGUAGUCCACGCCCUAAACGAUGCGAACUGGAUGUUGGGUGCAAUUAGGCACUCAGUAUCGAAGCUAACGCGUUAAGUUCGCCGCCUGGGGAGUACGGUCGCAAGACUG